GUGAGUUCCAUACAUUUGACGACCAAACACCAUUCGACAAAACAAGAUGGACUCCGUCACGUGUUUGACUGCCGUUUCGAGAGUUCGGGAGUUCGAAGUGCUGCUUCGAACCACUUGGGGAGUUCGAAGAGUUACUGUCCAAGUCCAACAAAAGCACAAACAGUGGUAGCAAAUCAGGAGAACGUUAUUAACGAACGGCCAGGCAAAACAGGGGAAAAACAUGUAAUUUAAUAAUAGGGAGAUCUGUCUCACUGCCAACCCCCAAACCAUAGGGACAACGGG